AUUUUUAAUGGACAAUUCCUAGUAAUAUCAAGGCAAUUUAAAGAAAGCAUUUGGGUAAAAUUUUAGCAUGGCCCCUGUGCAAGGAUGACAUGCAAAUUCGUGAAGCCUUCCAUAAUUUU
ensembl:snRNA U6 U6 spliceosomal RNA